AUGGGGUGCAGCAGGCGAGAAAACUUUGCAAUGUGCGAAAGCACGACAAGGUUAAUCCGAGUGUUUUCUGCUAAAGAAAUCUUUUGUUAGUUCUAAAUCCACUAUCGAAUAAGGGGUGGGCAAGUUCUGGUGUCAGCCGCCGCGGUAAAACCAGCACCUCAAGUGGUCAGGAUGAUUAUUGGGCCUAAAGCAUCCGUAGCCGGCUAUGUUAGUUUUCGGUUAAAUCCAUGUGCUCAACACAUGGGCUGUCGAAAAUACUGCAUAGCUAGGGAGUGGGAGAGGUAGACGGUACUCGGUAGGAAGGGGUAAAAUCCUUUGAUCUAUCGAUGACCACCAGUGGCGAAGGCGGUCUACCAGAACACGUCCGACGGUGAGGGAUGAAAGCUGGGGGAGCAAACCGGAUUAGAUACCCGGGUAGUCCCAGCUGUAAACUAUGCAAACUCAGUGAUGCAUUGGCUUGUGGCCAGUGCAGUGCCGCAGAGAAGUCGUUAAGUUUGCCGCCUGGGAAGUACGUACGCAAGUAUGAAACUUAAAGGAAUUGGCGGGGGAGCAC
rnacentral:rRNA from 1 species